UAGCCGUAAACGAUACUCGCUAGGUGUCGGCCACGGUGCGACCGUUGUCGGUGCCGUAGGGAAGCCGUGAAGCGAGCCACCUGGGUAAGUACGGCCGCAAGGCUGAAACUUAAAGGAAUUGGCGGGGGAGCACCACAACGGGUGGAGCUUGCGGUUUAAUUGGAUUCAACGCCGGAAAUCUUACCGGGACCGACAGCAACAUGAAGGCCAGGCUGAAACUUUGCCGGAUUAGCUGAGAGGAGGUGCAUGGCGUAGUCGUGU
rnacentral:rRNA from 1 species